rnacentral:rRNA from 1 species
AGUGAACGCUGGCGGUAGGCCUAACACAUGCAAGUCGAACGGCAGCACAGUAAGAGCUUGCUCUUACGGGUGGCGAGUGGCGGACGGGUGAGGAAUACAUCGGAAUCUACUUUUUCGUGGGGGAUAACGUAGGGAAACUUACGCUAAUACCGCAUACGACCUACGGGUGAAAGCAGGGGAUCUUCGGACCUUUCGCGAUUGAAUGAGCCGAUGUCGGAUUAGCUAGUUGGCGGGGUAAAGGCCCACCAAGGCGACGAUCCGUAGCUGGUCUGAGAGGAUGAUCAGCCACACUGGAACUGAGACACGGUCCAGACUCCUACGGGAGGCAGCAGUGGGGAAUAUUGGACAAUGGGCGCAAGCCUGACCCAGCCAUACCGCGUGGGUGAAGAAGGCCUUCGGGUUGUAAAGCCCUUUUGUUGGGAAAGAAAAGCAGCAGGUUAAUACCCGGCUGUUCUGACGGUACCCAAAGAAUAAGCACCGGCUAACUUCGUG